rnacentral:tRNA from 1 species
UCCCAGAUAGCUCAACUGGUAAAGAAUCUGCCUGCAAUGCAGGAGACCCUGGUUCGAUUCCUGGGUCGAGAA